GUAGGUGAAGUGAUUUACUCAUGGAGCUGAAGUCAGUCGAAGAUACCAGCUGGCUGCAACUGUUUAUUAAAAACACAGCACUGUGCAAACACGAAAGUGGACGUAUACGGUGUGACGCCUGCCCGGUGCCGGAAGGUUAAUUGAUGGGGUCAGCGCAAGCGAAGCUCCUGAUCGAAGCCCCGGUAAACGGCGGCCGUAACUAUAACGGUCCUAAGGUAGCGAAAUUCCUUGUCGGGUAAGUUCCGACCUGCACGAAUGGCGUAAUGAUGGCCAGGCUGUCUCCACCCGAGACUCAGUGAAAUUGAACUCGCUGUGAAGAUGCAGUGUACCCGCGGCAAGACGGAAAGACCCCGUGAACCUUUACUAUAGCUUGACACUGAACAUUGAGCCUUGAUGUGUAGGAUAGGUGGGAGGCUUUGAAGUGUGGACGCCAGUCUGCAUGGAGCCGACCUUGAAAUACCACCCUUUAAUGUUUGAUGUUCUAACGUGGACCCGUAAUCCGGGUUGCGGACAGUGUCUGGUGGGUAGUUUGACUGGGGCGGUCUCCUCCUAAAGAGUAACGGAGGAGCACGAAGGUUGGCUAAUCCUGGUCGGACAUCAGGAGGUUAGUGCAAUGGCAUAAGCCAGCUUGACUGCGAGCGUGACGGCGCGAGCAGGUGCGAAAGCAGGUCAUAGUGAUCCGGUGGUUCUGAAUGGAAGGGCCAUCGCUCAACGGAUAAAAGGUACUCCGGGGAUAACAGGCUGAUACCGCCCAAGAGUUCAUAUCGACGGCGGUGUUUGGCACCUCGAUGUCGGCUCAUCACAUCCUGGGGCUGAAGUAGGUCCCAAGGGUAUGGCUGUUCGCCAUUUAAAGUGGUACGCGAGCUGGGUUUAGAACGUCGUGAGACAGUUCGGUCCCUAUCUGCCGUGGGCGCUGGAGAACUGAGGGGGGCUGCUCCUAGUACGAGAGGACCGGAGUGGACGCAUCACUGGUGUUCGGGUUGUCAUGCCAAUGGCACUGCCCGGUAGCUAAAUGCGGAAGAGAUAAGUGCUGAAAGCAUCUAAGCACGAAACUUGCCCCGAGAUGAGUUCUCCCUGAGACUUAGAGUCUCCUGAAGGAACGUUGAAGACGACGACGUUGAUAGGCCGGGUGUGUAAGCGCAGCGAUGCGUUGAGCUAACCGGUACUAAUGAACCGUGAGGCUUAACCUUACA
rnacentral:rRNA from 1 species